UACGGGGGGGGCAAGCGUUGUUCGGAAUUACUGGGCGUAAAGGGCUCGUAGGCGGCCAACUAAGUCAGACGUGAAAUCCCUCGGCUUAACCGGGGAACUGCGUCUGGUACUGGAUGGCUUGAAUCCGGGAGAGGGAUGCGGAAUUCCAGGUGUAGCGGUGAAAUGCGUAGAUAUCUGGAGGAACACCGGUGGCGAAGGCGGCAUCCUGGACCGGCAUUGACGCUGAGGAGCGAAAGCCAGGGGAGCAAACGGG
rnacentral:rRNA from 1 species